GAUGAACGCUGGCGGCGUGCUUAACACAUGCAAGUCGAACGAUGAAGCCCAGCUUGCUGGGUGGCUUAGUGGCGAACGGGUGAGUAACACGUGAGUAACCUGCCCUUGACUCUGGGAUAAGCCUGGGAAACUGGGUCUAAUACUGGAUAUGACUUCUCAUCGCAUGGUGGGGGGUGGAAAGAUUUAUUGGUCUUGGAUGGACUCGCGGCCUAUCAGCUUGUUGGUGAGGUAAUGGCUCACCAAGGCGACGACGGGUAGCCGGCCUGAGAGGGUGACCGGCCACAAGGGGAAUGAGAAACGGCCCAGACCCCGAGGGGGGGCAGGAGGGGGGAAUAUUGCAAAAGGGGCGAAAGCCGGAUGGAGCGACGCCGGGGGGGGGAGGACGGCCUUCGGGUUGUAAACCGCUUUAAGGAGGGAAGAAGCGAGAGUGACGGUACCGGAAGAAGAAGCGCCGGCUAACUACGU
rnacentral:rRNA from 1 species